UUAAAGGUAAAUAAUGCAUCGUCUUAAUAGCAAUUUUAUUUCCACUAGAACCACUCUUAUAACGAGGGUGAUGACAAAACUUACAGGACUCUAGGUUAGCUUCUUCCUUAAAGUAUAACAUGCAACCAUUUUCACAACAAUCAAUUUUAACCGAGAAGAGACCUAACUUUGACACCAAUCUUUUUGCCUUAUAGAAAGAAUCAAAAACCUCCAAGCCGGGGUCAACUAACUCUGUAAUAAAGUCUAUCAUUGAGUCCAUUGCUCCUUCAGCAAUAUUCCAUUCAGAUUUAAUACUUAAUAAUCUAACAACAAUAGACAAACGAGAGUACGAACACCCGUCAAACAAAGGAUGACUAGCAGCAUGCAAUUAUUUAUAGAAUUUGCCCGCUUCGCUAUUAGGAACAUCUUUGACAUUUUCCCUAAAGUCCCUCUGACUCACCCCCCGUGUUGCAUCCCAAAAGUAUCUGCACCAUUUCUGUCAUCCUAGUAUCUUGAUAUUCAUUAUGCCCUGCAGACCUACUACUUUCUCCAACAACAAAGUUAUUUUUCG
rnacentral:lncRNA from 1 species